UCUAGUCGGAUUCGUUGCCACUGAGCGGCGACAGGAACUCCUCUUAGAGCACCCUGUUGCCCUGGUGGAGGGUCGUGGUACUCACGAAAGUCAGCGUGAUCAGAGAUCCCAAGAAGCAGGUGAUGACCACGCCGAGCGCAAGCCACUCCCGGCGCUUGGACCAGAAGUGUGGAAACUCAUCCAGCACAGCGGUGAUCACCCCCUCCAAGCCUGCGAACUGAGAGGGGCACACAGAGACGUCACUGUGGACUUUGGAACAAAUCUGCUACCUCUAGGACAGUGAACAGAGGGAGGGGUUAAAAUUGCCAAGUGACCUGUCAAGCUCAUCACGACCCAGCCCUCACUGGAAGUAAAUUUCCACGUGACCCCAUCAUUUAGAACUCACCCCUAAGGACAUCAAGGGAAGAAAGCAGAGCAUGUGGACAGGACUUCUUUACAUGAGGUCUCUUGGGGAGACUUUGGUUGUGCCAGAAAUGCCAACUCAAAACUGGAACUCUUUCCACACUAAUGAGGUGAAGGCUGGGCAGCAGGGCACUAAGACACAAGCGUGACCUUGCCCUGGCCUUUGGGUGGUGCCAGUCUGGUCAGGGGACAGUGCACACUAACAGCGGAUCGCCUGUGCUGAGCUCUUGGCCUGGGCCAGGCGCUUUGCCCCCAUUGUCUCAUUAAGGACCCGCUAUUGUCCUAGAGAACAGUAAGCGCCCAAAGGCACAGGGGCUGGGGCAGCUCGGGGAGGGAGCAGCCAUCACCACCUUCGGGACCAGGAUGGAAGGGGCGGGCUGCAGCCGCCUCUUCCUCUCCCUGCACUUCCCACCCCUCCUCCUCCCCCUCCUGCUCGCAGCUCUCCCUCCGACGUCACUUACCGUGCUGUCUAAGCCCAGGGUGAUCAACAUCAGGAAGAAGAUGAUGGCAAAGAAGGUGGACGCGGGCAUGUUGGCGAUGGCCUCUGCGUAGGUGAUGAAGAGGAGGCUGGGGCCUGAGACAGAGACAGAGAGGGGAGGACGUGGUGGCAGAGACCUGCCCUGCAAAGCAGUCUCGGGGGACACGCGGCCACAGCAACAAUGACAAUUCCUGUCGCAAGAGCUUCCUGUGACGCCGGCCUGGACAGCCAUAUAUCCGAGCACGGUGAAGAUGACAAAUCCUGAAACGAAGCUCGUCAUGCAGUUCACCACACUGGUCACCAAGGCGUCUCUGGAGCAGAAAACCCAAGGGGACUGAGACAUUUCCAAGCUGGGAGUCUAGGGAGCAUCUGUCUGCAGCCAUGUCAAGGCUAGCAAAAGCCAGCAGGACUCCAAAGCCAGGCCCAAGAGAGAAGAAGAUCUGAGCAGCUGCAUCCACCCACACCUGCAGCAGAGCAGAGAUGCUAAAGUAGAUAAUGGUGAAGAUCAGCAUGAUGCAGAGGGCAAGCUGCCAGCUGAUGCCCCCCAGGUCCUGGAGUCCCUUGGACCGGUGGAUCUGUAGGACGUGGCGUCUGAGUGAAUGAGAAAGAAAGGCCCGUGACCUGGUCUGAACGGUCCCCUGCACAUGAUGGUGCGACACCUCUGAGAGGACACCAAGAAGAAAAAUGGUCAUCACACUGCAAGGACCAGGUGGUCACCAAGCCUCGGGAAGAGCUGGGAGGGGCUCUGCAUGCUCUGAAGCAGAGAAAAAGCACUCAAGCCAGUGGACCCUGGGAAGAGUGCUCGGCCCCAAGGCCGACCCAGCCAACCCAGAAACAUGGCUGGCUUUUGGGUUCAUGAGGAUUUGUAUGUGUGGGCAGUGGGCCCCUUCUCCAUCCCCAAGCCGCUCUCUUCGGGCUGCCGUUGCCUGAAAUUCCACCAUUCAAGAAAACUACCUACCCUGGGCGUCUUCUUUCACAGGAUAGAUAGAGCUCACGUAUGAAGUGAAAACAUGAAACCAGAAACUUUUGAGUCAUUUCAAACUAUUGAAGUAGAGGGAGGCUCUGCUCCCAUGACAACUGGCUGAGAGGAGGGCCCAGGAGGAAGGGUGGUUCCAAAGCAGGGGGGUACUUUUGGAAUGUGAAGGCAGGGACUGGCCUGGGCGCAUCAGAAAAGAAGGGGACGGCACAGAGCCCCAGACUGCAGACCCUCACGGUAGAGUCUCCCAGCUCCCUCCCUCACAUUCACCCCCCUCCCCACAGCAAAACCCAUCAGCCAAGAGCUAAGAGCCUCGGGCCCCCGCCUCCCUCCUAAGAAGCCAAACCCCAGGGGUGUGGUCUGCCCCUAACAGGCCACCCCCUCACUUACAUGCACUUACGUGUAAAAUUCUUCUGCAGGGGACGUUGAG